AACUUUCAACAAUGGAUCUCUUGGUUCCGGCAUCGAUGAAGAACGCAGCGAAAUGCGAUAACUAAUGUGAAUUGCAGAAUUCAGUGAAUCAUCGAGUCUUUGAACGCACAUUGCGCCCCCUGGUAUUCCGGGGGGCAUGCCUGUCCGAGCGUCAUUAC
rnacentral:rRNA from 1 species